AUACCAUGGUGAGGGCAAGCUUUAGUGUACCCUUUCAUAUGCUCCCACGCUUCAUACAAACUCUCUUCUUCGCCUUACUCAAAUCUAGCUAUAUCAUUCCUUGUCU
rfam:Arabis alpina cultivar Pajares Aa.chr1_contig_3881, whole genome shotgun sequence.